rnacentral:lncRNA from 1 species
AUGAAAAUGCCACCGUCCAAGUCCCUGCGUUCCUUGUCCUCAGCGGUCCCAGGCCUCGGCGGCCAACUACCUGCCAAGGCUCUGUCUCAGGCGCUAUUGCUUCUUUCACCAUCAGCAGCUGACUCAGGUCCUCCUGGGGUGUGGCUCAUUUCAUCACAGCUUCCCUGCUGCACCAAGGAGGGCUGGGCAGAAUCCACAAACAUGUUCUCCUAUCUUCUGUCCCUGGGCAACUCAACUUCUGUCCCAGGGGCCCGGCUUUCCUGGAUGCUGUCACAGGGCAGGGAGCGCAAUUCCAGCAUGCACCGAUGCACCAUAAAGCCAGCUUGCGGAGGUCCUGCAAUUGAGGAGGAGGAGCCCUCACUUCCUGCAACAUCUUCUCUGGAGCACAUUUCUUUCAAGCACCCUCCAUUUGGCCAACUUCAAACAACAAAAGAAUGAGCAAUAGAAGAAAACAAAAACUAUGUUCAUUGAAUACACGUUAAAAAAACCACACAUGGAAAAAUCAACACUGGCAAAUACAAUAAAUUUUAGAUCAUAUUGAGAGAUGACA